UUAAAGAGCUUUCAACUGGAAUUCUUUUACGCUGGGAUUGUCGUGGGUGGAGCGUUACGCAACCUUCCAUUAGCAGAAAUAAAGCAGGUUCUCUCCCCAUCGGUAGCUUCGAGUGGCAUUUAACGAUUCCUAUUAGGGUUUCAUGUGUCGGCGAAAUCUUCUCUUUUGUUGUCGUAGUUUAAUACGGUUUCGAAGGGGUUUUUGUACUUGAUUGGUGGAAUUUCUUUUGAUUGCGUGAUUCCUGCGAGCUGCUCGGGGUAAUUGAAGGAAGAGAAAGGGUAGGCGAUGGGUAACACGGGGAGUAGUGGGGGAGGAGGCGCAGGAGGGGGAGGAGGCGCGGGUCGAAGGAGAAACCAUGGACAUCACCAUCAGCACCACGCGCCUUCGAUUCUUCCACCGCCUGCGCCGCAGUCGGUGCCUCCGGCGCCGUCUCCUGAGGUCUCUGCUGGUAAUCGGUAUGUGUUUGCUGCGGCGACGCCGUACCCUCAAUACCCCAACCCUAAUUCUCCGCAGUAUUAUCAGUACGUUGGAUCUUACCCGCCACCGCCGCCGAUGCCCGCCCCGAUGCCUGCGCCGUUUGAUCAUUACCAGCGUGGUGCCGGUGGGGAUCACCCUGCUUAUCACCCGGGGUGGGCCAGUGCGCCGAGGUAUCCGUACUGCCCCGCGCCGCCGCCCCCGCCUACUCCUUUCGUGGAGCACCAGAAAGCAGUCACGAUAAGGAAUGAUGUGAAUCUCAAGAAAGAAACUCUGAGGAUUGUGCCCGAUGAGGAGAAUCCUGGCAGAUAUCUUGUAACCUUUACCUUUGAUGCCACUGUUUCUGGAAGCAUUUCUGUUUUCUUCUUUGCCAAAGAAGGACUUGACUGUAACCUUAUACCAACAAAGGAUGGCUUGCUUUCCCCAGUUACUGUUUCAUUCAAUGAUGGACUUGGCCAGAAGUUCAAGCAGCCAUCUAGUACUGGGAUUGACCUCUCAAUGUUUGAGGAAGCAGAAUUGAUUAAGGAGGGGGAAACAGAUGCUUACCCAUUGGCAAUCAAAGCAGAAGCAUGCCAUGUUGACAAGCAAGGACUGGAAGGAAGUCAUGGUACUGUUACUCCAAACUCGCAGAUAACUCAAGCGGUUUUUGAGAAGAAGGAGAAUGGCGAAUACCAAGUUCGUGUGGUGAAACAGAUCUUGUGGGUGAAUGGAACCAGAUACGAGCUGCAAGAGAUCUAUGGAAUAGGAAAUUCUGUUGAUGGUGAUUAUGAUGGGAAUGAUCCUGGCAAAGAAUGUGUGAUUUGUCUCUCAGAACCAAGAGACACUACUGUCCUACCCUGCAGACAUAUGUGCAUGUGUAGCGGUUGUGCCAAGGUUCUUAGGUACCAAACAAAUCGAUGCCCUAUAUGCAGGCAACCAGUGGAGCGCCUGUUGGAGAUCAAGGUUAACAACAGGGGCGAGGAUGAGCAGAAUGCGAGAGCAGAAACAAGUGAUCUGAAAGCUUAACCUUUUUCUGGGUGAAAUCUCUUUGAAUAAUCCACACAGUGGUGAAACAUGUAUAUUGCUCUAUUUUGGUUCUCAAGAUUGAUGCUUGUUUGUGAUUUCUACCCACUUUCUGAUCAGCUGGAUCUGCUAUGAAAUCAACUGCUGCAGCAAGUCAUGGGAGAGAGGUAAGGUUUCUUACAUCAUAAUUUAAAAUUUGACAAAUUCAAAUCACUAAUGUUUUGCUUGAGACGGCUUUUUUAUUGCUUUUUAAAACAACUUUUUAGUAUAAAAAUUUCUUAAACUAAUUUUUUUUUUACUAAAAAGUUAUUUUAGAAAGCAGAAAGAAAGUGGUCCCAAUUGUAGCUUACAUUUAUCUUCUUUUAGGCUUCAUUUGGGACUACUUUUCAUUGGUUCUUAAAUUUUUGUACUAAAAUUCUAUUUUAAGAAGCAAUAAAAAAACCAUUUCAAACGAAGUGUUAGGCUUCGUUUGGAACGGCUUUCUUACUGCUUCUUAAAACAAUUUUUUAGUAUAAAAAUUUUAUUUAUUGUAUUAGAAAACUGCUUUAAGAAGCAGUAAGAAAGCCGUUCCAAAUGAAGUCUUACUUUAAAUAAUUCGGCCAUUUUAUUCUCAAUAUAUCUGACUUUUUCAUAUAUUUUAUUUAAAACCAAACAGGGGUAUUAUUGAUAAUUUGAUAGUUCUUUUUUAUCA